rnacentral:rRNA from 1 species
UUUAUGGAGAGUUUGAUCCUGGCUCAGGAUGAACGCUGGCGGCGUGCCUAAUACAUGCAAGUCGAGCGAACAGAUAAGGAGCUUGCUCCUUUGACGUUAGCGGCGGACGGGUGAGUAACACGUGGGUAACCUACCUAUAAGACUGGAAUAACUCCGGGAAACCGGGGCUAAUGCCGGAUAACAUGUUGAACCGCAUGGUUCUACAGUGAAAGACGGUCUUGCUGUCACUUAUAGAUGGACCCGCGCCGUAUUAGCUAGUUGGUGGGGUAACGGCCUACCAA